UACGUAGGGUGCAAGCGUUAAUCGGAAUUACUGGGCGUAAAGCGUGCGCAGGCGGUUAUGUAAGACAGAUGUGAAAUGCCCGGGCUUAACCUGGGAACUGCAUUUGUGACUGCAUGGCUAGAGUGUGUCAGAGGGGGGUAGAAUUCCACGUGUAGCAGUGAAAUGCGUAGAUAUGUGGAGGAAUACCGAUGGCGAAGGCAGCCCCCUGGGCCAAUACUGACGCUCAUGCACGAAAGCGUGGGGAGCAAACAGG
rnacentral:rRNA from 1 species